GUUGCUUCUCAGACUUUUGACUAAGAUCAAGUAAACUAUCUGUUCUUAUCAAUUUAAUGUAAACCGCCCAGAGUUGUCUGCAGUGAGAAGGACGGUGACAAAUUUGAAAUAUAAAUAUAAAUAAAUAAAUAAAAUACUUGAUAAAUGCUACAUAUUAAAUUGAUUUUUUGGAACUGGUGUGGAGUCUCU